AGUGAACGCUGGCGGUAGGCCUAACACAUGCAAGUCGAACGGCAGCACAGUAAGAGCUUGCUCUUACGGGUGGCGAGUGGCGGACGGGUGAGGAAUACAUCGGAAUCUACUUUUUCGUGGGGGAUAACGUAGGGAAACUUACGCUAAUACCGCAUACGACCUACGGUUGAAAGCAGGGGAUCUUCGGACUUUGCGCGAUUGAUUGAGCCGAUGUCGGAUUAGCUAGUUGGCGGGGUAAAGGCCCACCAAGGCGACGAUCCGUAGCUGGUCUGAGAGGAUGAUCAGCCACACUGGAACUGAGACACGGUCCAGACUCCUACGGGAGGCAGCAGUGGGGAAUAUUGGACAAUGGGCGCAAGCCUGAUCCAGCCAUACCGCGUGGGUGAAGAAGGCCUUCGGGUUGUAAAGCCCUUUUGUUGGGAAAGAAAAGCAGCAGGUUAAUACCCCGCUGUUCUGACGGUACCCAAAGAAUAAGCACCGGCUAACUUCGUG
rnacentral:rRNA from 1 species